rnacentral:rRNA from 1 species
UACGAAGGGGGCUAGCGUUGUUCGGAAUUAUUGGGCGUAAAGGGCGCGUAGGCGGUGUCGCAAGUCCGUGGUGAAAUCUCUAGGCUCAACUUAGAGACUGCCGCGGAAACUGCGGUGCUUGAGUGUGGGAGAGGUGCGUGGAAUUCCCGGUGUAGCGGUGAAAUGCGUAGAUAUCUGGAGGAACACCGGUGGCGAAGGCGGCAUCCUGGACCAACACUGACACUGAGGAGCGAAAGCCAGGGGAGCAAACGGG